GAUGAACGCUGGCGGCGUGCCUAAUACAUGCAAGUCGAGCGAACAGACGAGGAGCUUGCUCCUCUGACGUUAGCGGCGGACGGGUGAGUAACACGUGGAUAACCUACCUAUAAGACUGGGAUAACUUCGGGAAACCGGAGCUAAUACCGGAUAAUAUAUUGAACCGCAUGGUUCAAUAGUGAAAGACGGUUUUGCGGUCGCUUAUAGAUGGAUCCGCGCCUCAUUAGCUAGUUGGUAAGGUAAUGGCUUACCACGGCAAUGAGGGGUAGCCGACCUGAGAGGGUGACCAGCCACCGUGGGACUGAGAUAGGGCCCAGACUGCUACGGGAGGCAGCAGUGGGGAAUAUUGCACAAUGGGCGGAAGCCUGAUGCAGCAACGCAGCGUGCGGGAUGACGUCCUGCGGGUUGUAAACCGCUUUCGCCUGUGACGAAGCGUGAGGGACGUUAAUGGGUAAAGAAGCACCGGCUAACUACGUG
rnacentral:rRNA from 1 species